UUCUCCAAUCCUAGCUGCCACUACCCCCUUUUACCCUAACCCUUCCACGCCGCCACCCUUCAUUCAAAAAGAAAGAAACAAAAGAAAGGGAAGAACAGAGAGGGGGACAUGAAAACAAGAAAGAAAGAAAAUAAAAGGGGGAAAACGGAGAUCAGAGGGAGAAGAGAGGGGGAAGGAAGUCAUCGCGCCUAUCCACUCGCCGUCGCCAUCCGAGGAGCUUCCGUGGAUGCUGUUGUCGAGCUCGUAGGUGAGAGAAAGAGAGUUCAUGUGGGACAGAGAAACGUGUUGCGCCGCCGUUCAUCGCUGCUCAGCCACCACCGCACCUUGUUGACGUCGUCAGAGCCGCCCAGUAGCCGCCGUCAUCUUCACAAACCGUCGUUGUCGCCAGGGUCAUGCCACCGUCGUAUCUCACCGGCGUUGAAGGGGCCAUCGUCGAAUGGAGCAGGGAGAGAGAAAGAGCUGCGAAAGAGAGAAAAGGAGGUGGCGGAGAUCUUUUGCCACCGCUGCUCCCGUCACUGUUACCGUUGGCGGAGCUUGCCGUCGCUGGAGGUAAGGCGGCGUUGCGUUCUUGCUGCUUUGAGCCACCAGCGCCGCUGCUGCUACUCCAAAAUUCCACUUCUGUUUCUUAGGGUUUGCUAUCUCAGCUCCCUUGAAGUUAUCGUCGGUUUUUUUCCUUGCCAUUGAGGGUCACCGGAGCUGCUGCAAUUCCAGUCUUUUGUUCCUCUGCUAAGCUGCCUCGCGGUGUUGUUCCAUCGUCGUUGUUGCUGGAAGAAGCAGUCAAAGUGGCUGCCAUGAAUUAAAAGGAAAGGGAGUUGUUACAAUAGGCUUAUGCGAACUCGGCUAAUCGAGUUGUUGUGGUUGCUGCAUAAGCGGUUAGGAGCUGAGGUUGCAGCUGCCACUGAUUGCGGGCCGAAAAGAAAGGGUUUCUUGAUGUGUUUGGUUUUUGAGUUUCGAUUAUUCGAGGUAGGAUUUUUCUUAAAAUCUAUU